rnacentral:rRNA from 1 species
UACGGAGGGAGCUAGCGUUAUUCGGAAUUACUGGGCGUAAAGCGCACGUAGGCGGCUUUGUAAGUUAGAGGUGAAAGCCUGGAGCUCAACUCCAGAAUUGCCUUUAAGACUGCAUCGCUUGAAUCCAGGAGAGGUGAGUGGAAUUCCGAGUGUAGAGGUGAAAUUCGUAGAUAUUCGGAAGAACACCAAUGGCGAAGGCAGCUCGCUGGGACGGUACUGACGCUGAGACGCGAAAGCGUGGGGAGCAAACAGG